rnacentral:ncRNA from 2 species
CCGAAACAUCAAGAGCAGUCGCCUUUAUGGCGGACUCGCCAACCGAGCAUUAGGAUGUCACGGUGGCCAAGGUACGAUGUGGAAGCAACAUUAUUAUUCACUUCAAAAUUAUCCUAAGUU